rnacentral:rRNA from 1 species
GACGUAGGGGGCCAGCGUUGUUCGGAAUUACUGGGUGUAAAGGGUUCGUAAGCGGUGUAGCAAGUCGGGAGUGAAAUCUCUGGGCUUAACCCAGAGGCUGCUUCCGAAACUGCUGUGCUUGAGUGUGGGAGAGGCGCGUGGAAUUGCAGGUGUAGCGGUGAAAUGCGUAGAUAUCUGCAGGAACACCCGUGGCGAAAGCGGCGCGCUGGACCACUACUGACGCUGAGGAACGAAAGCUAGGGGAGCAAACAGG